AUUGUGAUGCAUUCUUACCACGUGCAUACAACUUCAUAGAGCUGCAAGGGCAGCAGACUCGGAGAAAGAGCCACAGGAGAGACAGAGGCACGGAGCGGGAGCAGAUCGGCAGGCCAUACCCUUGAAAAAGCCAACUGACUCCCCAGCUGUGUAAUGCGAUCAAUUCUCCUGGGAAGAAUGAAGAAACCAGGAAGCUGAUCCUUUCACAUAACCCAGGGUUUCUGAGAUCACAAAUCAUCUGCUUUCUGAG
rnacentral:lncRNA from 1 species